CCGUCGCGUUCUGAUGCAGCACAGACUAACAACACAGCCGAAAGAAAGCAAAGCGUUUCCUUUCCACGGAGCUUCAUGGCGCUGCUGGUUGUGUGAAUGGCAACGCUAUGCUGGAGUCGACGCGAAGAGGUCUGUUCACACAUGCGAUGCAUUAUAAUCGUGUCGUUGUCAACUGCAAACGCUCUGGGGAUGCGUGAUCCGGGAACUUCUUCAAUAAAUACGACACGCCCCUUGUGAGCUGCGUGCCUACGGCGACGCCAAACUAGGAGGGUAAAAGUUGUCGACGCAUUCCAUGUGAGUGGACGGCAAGAAAUCAGAAAGAACAAGGAUGACGGCAUAUUGUGCUGCAUACGGUUGCUUACAACGCCUUACAAUUACGACAAAGGGAACUGGGAGUAAUCUUUCAGAUGUAAAAAUAUCAAUUGGGUCUUUCUUCAAAUGUUAUGUAUUGAUAGAAAAUACUUUGGAAUUGUAAAAGUAAACCUAGUGAGAAAUGAGCAAGUUACGACUGAAUUUCAAUGUCCAUGCAUUGCCUUUGAUGGGAACGUCGACCGUCCUAACAUGGCCGCCACGUCGACACAUUGGUUAGCUGGACUAGCUAGUCUUCAUAGCUAUGAUCAUGACCAUAUAUGGAAGUGCCGACACAAGGGUCUGACAUAGCGUGUGACGUCAACAAAAUCGACAAGUGUGCAUUUGAAUAACUUAAAAAAAAUAUAGGCUCUCGUCAGAGUCAAUGAAUUUUACGAAAAUAAAUGGAUUAACUGAGAAAACAGAAUGACGAGUAUGCCAUCAAGACGUCGCAGCGCGUGGCUGAAAGGUGAAGAAUGGUCAUAUCAAACGAGUUACAGACAAUGACAUCAACUCGCUUGUCUUGGAGGUUGAGGGUUCAAACGUCAGUACCAACUACAUCACGUGUCCUGCUGACCCGAGGCAGACACUUGGUAUCAAAAUGCCAUUUCUUGUGAUGAUUGUCAAGAAGACCAGGAAAUAUUUCAGCUUUGAAGUCCAGGCACUGAAACAUGCACUUUGCACAUUUUGAUUAUAUAUUAUAAUCAUUGCUAUUCAUGGUCUCCAUUACAUCCCUUUCCACUUUCAGGUGUUAGAUGAUCAGAAUUUACGCCGGCGGUUUCGGGCAAGUAAUCACCAUAGCAAGACGCAAGUGAAUUCAUUUAUGUGCACGAUGCCAAUUAGUGUUGAUGACCGCUGGAACCAGUUUCAAUUCAACUUGGCAGACAUUACCAGGAGGGCCUACGGAACCAGUUAUGUAGAGACGCAGCGUGUUCAGGUGCGUUUGUGCGUGGACAGCAGAGGAAAGUGAUCACCAAAUGCUCCUGAAGAACCCACGGAAAGUAAUGGAAAUAGAAGUAAUCCAAAGUGGGGUCCAACUCUUGCCAUUUUACUAAUAUUUUAACUGUCAUAAAAUAAUAAAAAAACAAUUAACCACUGGUAAUAUGAAAACAUAAACACUGAAACUUUAAUAACGAAUGACAAAUUUUGAAGGUGAUUCACAUUUAAACAUCCCUCAAACAUCCAUCCAUCCAUUUACUGAGGCACUUCUCCUCACAAGGGUGGCGGGCGUGCUGGAGCCUAUCCCAGCUAUCAUCGGGCAGGAGGCGGGGUACACCCUGAACUGGUUGCCAGCCAAUCGCAGGGCACAUACAAACAAACCACCAUUCGCACUCACAUUCACACCUACGGGCAAUUUAGAGUUGUCAAUUAACCUACCAAGCAUGUUUUUGGGAGGAAACAGGAGUUCCCGGAGAAAACCCACGCAGGCACGGGGAGAACAUGCAAACUCCACACAGGCGGGGCCGGGGAUUGAACCGCGGUCCUCAGAACUGUGAGGCAGACGCUCUAACCAGUCGGCCGCUGCUGCCUCAAACAUUACAUCCUUAAUUCCCAAACAAGUGUAAAAAGAAGUUUUCAUGCAUGCUCGGCAGUUGCACAACAUUAAAAACAAAAUACAACGCAAAUGUUGACACUAGGUCUUACUCAAUACCCCUUGUUGAGGUUGAUCCUUCUUUUGGAACAAGUGUGGCCAAAUACAGUUACAAGAAAAAGUAUGUGCACCCUUUGGAAUUAGCUGGAUCUCUGGAUAAAUUAAAAUGUAAUAUGAUCUUCACCUAAGUCACUACAAUAGAAAGUCUGCUUUAUCUAAUACCACACAAACAAUUAUGAUUACAUGUUUUUAUUGAACACUUGAACAUUCUCAGGGCUGGGUAAUAAAAGUAUGUUAGUGAUGUACGAGUGCCACUAGUAGUACCUGCGCUCUCUCUAGUUGUAAGCAAAAGAUUCACAGUUUAAGUACAUUCAGUUGCAUUUAAUUUUUUAAGAAUGGUUUGUUUUUAAAAAUGUAUUUAGGUACAGUUUUAACUUUUGAUAUACACUUGAAGGAAUCAUCAUUUAAGUAUAGUUUAAAAAAAAAAAAACAAUACUAUAGUUUAGCACAGUGUUAAUGUUCAAACUGAAUAAUGUACAGUUGCUUACAAUAUUAGAUAUAAUUUUUGGAAUAAAACCUCUGUCUCGUUUUGAUGAACACUUGGGCCUAUUACGCUACUGUAUUUUAAUGCUGUCAUUAUGGUGGUACUUGGAAUGCUAAGUAUUUUUUUUGGGUGAUACUUGGUGUAAAUGGGUUGAGAACUACUGCCCUAGGAGGUCAAGGGUGGACAGCUAAUUUUCUGAAGGGGCCAUGUGAUGAGCUGAAACAUUUGUCGAGGGCCACACCAUGUUAACCCCAAUUAUGUUAAUUAUGAAUUUAUAUGAAUUAGUAAAUGGUACUGUUUUAAUAAGAUGCUACUUGUAGAUAUGGUAAACGAUAUUGUUGUAAUUAGGAAAUUAAAAAUGUAAGCAGUUAUAUUACAAUUAUACAGUGUACUGUAUAAACUUCAUCACAAUUUAAUAAACAUUCACAAAAAAAAACAAAAAAAAAACACUACAGUGCAUGAAGUUAUCUAUACAGUAUUUUCAAAAUGUGCUGAUAUUGGGCUGUAUUCAUCCUUUUGAAGGAGUGGCUGUCCUGUCAAGAUGACUGCAAGAGCACAGUGCAGAAAGCUAAAAAUACAACAAUCCAAAGCCAAAUCCUCAAAUGUAUCCUUAAGAUUUACAAAAUGCUUGCAGUACAUAUCUGUUGACAAAUCUACGAUGGGUAAAACAUUAAACAAGAAUGGAUGUCAUUUGAGGACACCACAGACAAAGCCACUCUUGUGUUUCGAAGUUGCAAAAGAGUGGCUGGAUGUUACCCAGCGGUACUGGCAAACUAUUGUGUGGACAGAUGAAAUGAGAGUUGAGUUGUUUGGAAGUAACACACAAUGCUAUUUGUGGAGGAAAAGGGUGCACAGCACACCAUUCCAUUCAUUCCAAAGGUUCACAUACUUUUUCCAACUCUGCACAGUGACGUUUACAUGUUGUGAUUCGUGAAAAUAUUACGAGUUUCAGGUUUUUGAAUCUUGAGGUGACCUACAUUUCUGAGCUGCUGACUACGUUAAUAAGGUGUUAACUUGUUUCAUUAGAGCAUAUCCAUUUGCAAGUGUUCUCUCUCUUUGUCUGGUUUACAGUGGUGCAUAUUUCAAAGUUGUGGUCAAAAAAGCAUUUCAUCUCAUCUGGGCUAGACAGAAUUUCCUAAAAUCUUACAUCUGCCCCAUAGGUUUGCCGAGCUGAGGUUGCCGAGGUCUUGAGUUAUAUACUGAUAUUUUGCAUGAAGACAGUUUUUGUGAUUUAGUGUCCUAUACUUUCAAAAUAAUUUGGUUAAAUUCAAGGGUACUCGACUCUGCUUCCACUGUUUUAUCCUAAUGCUGCCUCCUGAGCAGUAUGAACAAAUGUACUUUAUCACCCUGUUGGUUGUGUGAUUGUAACUUGUGAAACACAGUAAGUGUCCCGGGUUAAACUUCCCUCGUCUUGCACGCCAUGCCCAUCAACCCUUUCUUUUUUUUCCCUACAGCUGAGGUGCCUUUGAGGAAGGCACCUGAAUCCCUCAGUAGUUCUGCAUUCACUGUGAUGGGUCAAAAUGAGAAAUUUGACUUUAUUGCAUGCUUGCAAAGAUCACAUGACAGUAAACCUGAACAUUCACAAUUAAUCUAAAAAAGUCCAUAUCUGUGCAAUCGUUAUCUUUUUUUCUUUCAGAUUCAUGCUAAUUGUCGCAUCAGGAGGGUAUAUUUCACAGAUAAACAAUAUACAGAGGAUGAGCUCCCACCUGAGUUUAAACUGGUUAUUCCAGUCAAGAAACAGGAGGCAAGCAAAAAGGGAGUUCCCAGACCUGCUGCAACCCGACA